CCUACGGGUGGCAGCAGUGGGGAAUAUUGGGCAAUGGGCGCAAGCCUGACCCAGCAACGCCGCGUGAAUGAAGAAGGCUUUCGGUUUGUAAAGUUCUAUUAUUGAGGACGAAACAAAUGACGGUACUCAAUGAAUAAGCCACGGCUAACUACGUGCCAGCAGCCGCGGUAAUACGUAGGGGGCAAGCGUUAUCCGGAUUUACUGGGUGUAAAGGGCGUGUAGGCGGCAAUGCAAGUCUGAUGUGAAACGCAGGGACUCAACCCAUGGCCUGCAUUUGAAACUGUAGGUCUUGAGUGAUGGAGAGGUAAGCGGAAUUACGUGUGUAGCGGUGAAAUGCGUAGAGAUAAGGAGGAACACCAGUGGCGAAGGCGGCCUGCUGGACAGUAACUGACGCUGAGGCGCGAAAGCGUGGGGAGCAAACAGGAUUAGAUACCCGGGUAGUC
rnacentral:rRNA from 1 species